rnacentral:lncRNA from 1 species
CAUUUUCACUUCUUUUGCGGUGGAAUGUCAUCAGUUAAGGCAAGGACCAGCCAUUGACACUUCCUUUGUGGUGGAAUGUCAUCAGUUAAGGCGGGGCAGGACAUUUUCACUUCUUUUGUGAUUCUUCAGUUACUUCAGGCCAUCUGGGCGUAUACCUCGCGUCAGGUGCUCCCCUAGAAUUCCUGGCUGCAGGGAGUCCUGUGGGAAGACGGAGAACACCACCGCAGGCUUUCCACACAGGGGUCUGGAUUUGUCUGUGAAAUUCAGGAGCUCAUUUUGGCAGGCUGUAUAGGAAGCGUGGUGCUGGCAUCUGCUUCUGGUGAGGUUCUCAGGGAGCUUACAAUCCAGGCAGAAGGUGAAGGGGAAGCAGGCACAUCAGUGGCAAGAGAGGGAGCAAGGUGGAGGAAGUGCUGCACUCUUUUAAACAAUCAGAUCUCGCAUGAACUGAAAACUCAGUCUUCA